UACAGAGGGUGCGAGCGUUAAUCGGAAUUACUGGGCGUAAAGCGCGCGUAGGCGGCUUUGCAAGUCGGGUGUGAAAUCCCCAGGCUUAACCUGGGAACUGCAUUCGAGACUGCAUUGCUAGAGUAUGGGAGAGGGAAGUGGAAUUUCCGGUGUAGCGGUGAAAUGCGUAGAUAUCGGAAGGAACAUCAGUGGCGAAGGCGACUGCCUGGCCCAACACUGACGCUGAGGUGCGAAAGCGUGGGUAGCAAACAGG
rnacentral:rRNA from 1 species